GCCGAGUCUUCCUUGAGCUCCCUGUGUGCCUAACGCAGAGCUGACCCCCUCCCCGGGGCUUUGGAAAAUCUGCUCUGAAAUGUCUCAGUAGAAAACUGAGGCUCUGAGAGAUGAAGCUACUUGCCAAGGUCACACAACUCAGCCACAUCCCACUGAACAUCAUCCUGUUCCCUGGGGACUUAGCGCGUAUCCUAGAAAUUAACCUGCUGGUUGAUCCUGUUUCUUGUCUGUCUCUUUCCAGUGGAAUGUCACCAUUGCCCAGCAGGUCCUCCCAGCAGCUCCUGCAAGCAGACCCCCGACCCAAGCCCUUCCUUCUGCCUCCACUGCCACCAUUGCUGCUCAUCUCUGCUGGCACAGAAGUCUCUUCCCUGGUCUUCCAGAAAUCCCCUCUCCACACUCAGCCAGAGGGAGCUGUUAAAACUGCGGGCCAGCCCACAUCCGUCCACAGCAAAGUCCUCUCUAAGGGAUCCCUGUUGCUUGGAGAAUAAACCCUCAGAUUCGUUCCUUCCUUGGCUCUCGGGGCCUCCUCUCUGACCUGCCUCUGUCUCCCCUCCCAGCCUUCCUCGUCACUCACCCUCCAGCCACGCUGGCUUCCUCCUUGCUCCUGAAACAGCCUGAGGCCCACACUGCCCUGGGCCCUUUGCACUGGCUGUUCCCUCUGCCUGGAACACUUCUCCCAGGCGUCCACAGGGCUCCCUCCCGCAACUCCUUUGGGUGCCCACAUGGGAAGCCAUCCCUGACCGCCCCCCCUCACUUCCUUCUGAGCGCAGUGGGGUCUUUCUACCUAGUCGUGAGGGCAGGGAUUUUUGUCUGCUGUGUUCUCUGUGUG